ensembl:lncRNA
CUUGACCGCAGUUCAUUGCUCCCUACUCCCUGAGCAGAGGAAAUCCGCUGAAAUUGAUCCUGCUGUUGCAAAACUACUGAAUGAAGAGGAACUGUCUAAGUAUAUUCCUCGAUAUGGCAAUAGAGUCUUUGCAAAAAAUUGGAUGCCGAUAAAUGCAGAGGAACAUGGGAAUGUAGACAGAAAACAGAAAUUGAUCAACCGAUUGAGAGAAAAAAUGAAAUUACCAGCAAUUCAAAAUCAGAAAGAAAAAGGAGUUGCCAAUAAGAAUGCUGAAAGCAAGACAAGGAAAAUUGAACUUGGCUGGAUGAACUACCAAGAUAGCAGCUACAAACAAGUUAGAAGACCCAAAGGAGGUGGAACACAAGAAAUUGUUGUUAAAAAAGAAGACACAGUGUUAAACGUUCUGAAUAUCGGGAAAUAACUUUUUUUCCCCUAAUGGUAAAUCAGUAAAAGGGAAUAUUGACGAUUUCAACUUUAUGCUCUGUGUCACUGGCUCUGAAGAACCACUCAAAGAAAAUCAGACAGUUGGUGGAUUGGACGAGGCAACACGUUACCAACUUCUUAGACUGUAUGUGUGCACAAGACUGAAAGAUCAGGAUUCUGAUCAGAGUGAUGAAACUGACACAAAUUUGACUCUAAAGAGAUCCCGGCUUACUUCCACACCAGACGUAACUCCAUGUGCUUCAGGAUGUAACAAUCAGAACAGAAGUCAAACUUUGCACUCCCCGACUGUUACACCUGUCAGAUCUAGUGACUAAGUGAACUCCAGUCUUCUGAUGAUGAAGUGGUGUUCCUGGGUAAUGAUUAGAACACAUCCUUUGACAUGGUCUCUGACACACUUGUAUACUCACCUGUACAUGUUGAUUGUGUGGGGAACUAAACAUUUAUUAAAACAAUACCGGAAACAGUUUCAUUUGAGCCAGAUACAGUCUUUGUUCCAGGUAGCUCAUUCUAUGAAAUCACAGAUGCUAUAGAAACAGUGCCAGAAGAUCCACCUCAGGCAACUGACACCCAGGAGCCAUCAAACAAUGACUUGUUCUUCGAAAACCCAAGAAAUGUGACUGAAAGUGAAACAGUAGUGAUUCGCAGAGUUCACUGUGUGAAUGAUAUGAUUGAGGCUUUCUCAGACAAAAACAUUCUACAUGCCAAUGUAACAAUUAAACGUGUUCUCGAAAAUGGUGAGGAGGAAGCUGGCGUCGGGGUUGGAGUGUUCCAAGACUGUCUUACUGAAUUUUGGGACACAUUUUAUGCAACAAGAACCUGUGGAACAACUUACAAGAUACCAACUCUGCAUCAUGCUUACCAUGUCUGGAGAAGAUAACUGAAAAUCUUCAACCAUAGGCAAGAAAUGUGGCAAAAUCCUUCAGAUUCCCACAAAGGAUGUCCCCUUCUGAAACAACAGUAUCAAAUCAUCUCUUGCGGUUUGUUAGGGAGAGAGACCAGAAGGAGCUUGGUCUUCUUCUCAGAUACUGCACAGGGUCUGAUUUAUUUCUCUCCAAGACGAUUCAGGUAACAUUUACAGAAAUGAAUGAGUUUUCAAGAAUGCCCAUUGCCCACACUUGUUCACAACACCUUGAACUGGCAAGUUACUACAGCACCUAUGCAGAAUCUAGGGUAGAGUUUUGCUCUGUGUUGAUCAGUGGAGUGUGGGUAAUGGAUAUGUCAGACAUGUGAGUGUUAAAGCUGCAGUGCCUAAACAGCAUGAAAAAGAUGUCUGUUAAAUUAUACUGAAAGUAUAAAUACUGAAAGUAAUGUUCUCAUUUUUAAAUGUUAUGCAGUUCAUGAAGUUGAAAUAACAGUUAUUUUAAGAACUAUUGUGAAUGGAAUAGUAUGGUUGUCAAUGGGUUUUCAAGUUUUACACUAUUUCUAAUAGAGUUUUAGUUCAUUUGAGGAUAGCUCUGGUUAUGUUUACAAUUACUCUAAAUAAUCUAUGGUUAAAGCAAUACAGUUUCUCUUGAAUUUUUAUUUGUA